rnacentral:lncRNA from 1 species
CUGGGACGACGACUCGGAGAUGAGGUCAACCCCGAGCUUGAUUCAGAGAGGCGCCGGGGUGCGGCCGAGACGGGGCUAGGAAGGGCGACCGAGGCAAAGGAGAGGCGCUGGCCCGAGUCGGUUCCCCGAGGUCGAGGACGAAGCUGCCGCAAGUCGCCGUCGUUGAGCUGUAGAUGUUCCAGCAAAGGAAUCGCGGGCAAAGGAAUCCCCAACAUGAUUCUUUUUCUCCAUCAAUCGUGCAUGAGCUCAGUACUUUCCUCGAUCCGUACAAGUAGAAAUAACAGCCAAAGACGAAAUCCUCUCCAAAAGGUCUCCACGUGAUGUACUAUUAGUGAAUACUAGUUCCCGGCCGCUGACGGAAACAAUCAAUGGAAGGAGUGCUAGUUUAACCACUCAUGCCCACUAAUCACCAACAAUCUGACAUUCAUUUGACUAACUCAUGGAAUAGUCUCCACGUAAGGUUGUAAAGUCGUGACCAUAAGCGACUCGUAUUGGGCUUCGAAAGUUUGAUCCAAUAUUUAAUUGUCUCGAUUUGUACUGCCGCAGCAUACAGUGGCUGCUAUCAUCAACGAUCAACUCCGAAGUUUAAUUGGCGAAAUUAAUUAACCCACCCG